CCUUCGAUAGCUCAGUUGGUAGAGCGGAGGACUGUAGGUUGAUAAGAGUAGGUAUCCUUAGGUUGCUGGUUUAAUUCCGCCUCAAAGGC
rnacentral:tRNA from 1 species